GGCUAAAUAAAGUACAUGGUGAGCAUAAUGGACCUGGAAUUCCAAAGGUUGAUCCAAAUUUAGCAAAAAGUAAAAUUACAAAAAAAUUGAACUCUGAGGAAAAUUCUAAACAGAAAGUCCCUUAUCAAAUGGCUUAAACACAUUCCACAGGGUCCAGUUUUCAAACCCAGUCCGGUUUUCAGACCCAUUCCCAACGACAAAAACCCUACAUUUUUCCCAAUUUUGGGAGUUAAAUUCCCAAAUGAUCACAAAAUUCAUUUUCAUCUUUAUUAUUCAUGACAGAGAUGUUUAUUUUAUUCAACCGCUAGCUUUAUGCCAAAAAUCGCCAACAAGUAAUGUGUAAAUCCAAGUUGAAACAUAUUGAAUGACAAACAACAUUGACAAACAAUGGCUGUCAUAAAUAAACAGGAAGUGUGGGAAAAUACUAAAACCAGAUCAAAUCCGGAAACGGACAAGUAUAUAUAAAUCUCCUGGUUUUGUCAAUCAAAUACAGUAAAUAAAAAAUGAAAAAAGAACCAAACAUGUGACAGCUGACAUAGCAACACUAAAAUUUAAAACCAAAAGAUAUAUAAAAAAAGGAAAUAGAAACAGGAUAUAUUUUAUACAGAACUCAAAAUAUUUUAGUUCACAAAUUUUCACGUCAAAACAAAAAAAAAUG
rnacentral:lncRNA from 1 species